CGGAUAUUCACAUUACAAUGCAUGUCUCUUUAAUAUGUGUAUAUAUUUGUAAGCUGGACGGAUAUGUUCUUGGAUGAUCAGUCCUGAUUACAAGAUGGAGGGAAGCCGGAGACUCGGUGCUGCUCUAUUUGGAGUGGGGAGGAUCGGACAGGUCCACCUAAAGAACAUGGUGGACAGUGGGAGACUGACCAUCAGAUGGUUAGUGGACGUACCAGCACAGCAUGGAGUGAUGACUGAACUGAUAGGAGAAACAUGGGUUACAGGGGGAGGCUCAGGUGAUCGACAUCAAGGCCAGUCAAAAGGUGUUCGAAGACCCCAGGGUUGAUGUCGUUAUAAUUUGUACCCCAACGCCAUUUCACUCCGAUAUCAUAAAAAAGGCCUUAUCUGCAGGAAAGCAUGUGAUGUGCGAGAAGCCGUUAACUUUAACAGUUUUAGAUUCAAAAGAGUGUUACGAAGUGGCGAGAAACCAUGACAGAAUUUUAUUCUGCGCCUACAACAGACGUUUUGACAAAC